CGGAUUGAGAGAUAUGAAGUCUCCAAUAAGUUCUACAGCUGCAAGAUGGAGGAGAAUAGUUCUGUCAGUGAGCAUAUACUCAAAAUGUCUGGGUAUAAUAAUCACAUGAUUCAACUGGGAGUUAAUCUUCCGGAUGAUAGCGUCAUUGACAGAAUUCUCCAAUCACUGCCACCAAGCUACAAGAGCUUCGUGAUGAACUAUAACAUGCAAGGGAUGGAUAAGACAAUUCCCGAGCUCUUCGCAAUGCUAAAGGCUGCGGAGGUAGAAAUCAAAAAGGAGCAUCAAGUGUUGAUGGUCAAUAAGACCACCAGUUUCAAGAAAAAGGGCAAAGGGAAGAAG
rnacentral:rRNA from 1 species